GUUAGAGGGAAAGGUCCUGUUAUCAUGGACUCGCCAUUUAAUAGAUGGUAUCACUGAGAUGACAAAAAAAGUUAUCUCUUAACGGGAAGCGAAGGAGACCGAAUGACAACUGAAGCGUGACUAAAAGUUUUAAGAUUAUGGAAGUUUUUGAUAAGAUACGUUUUGAGAAGAUGUUUCUACUUACUGAGGAAGAUCAGAACUGGGAAGAUAACUAUAAAAUUGUCACCAAUAAAUCCAAUAGCAGCUUCUUUACCCAGAGAACGAUGAGAAUAUAGGACUCGAUGUUAAGCUUCUUACACUUUCUGCAUAGUUUUCAUGAUGGUGAAUGAUAAGAGGAAACAUGUUACCAACCUUACUGAACACACUGAGGAAUUCAAUAGUUCAGCCAGCAAUAUGUUCCACCAAGAGCUAGAAACUGCAAAUGAUGCCCGUUCAGGAUGGCAUGAGAAAAUAUUAAAUCACUUGAUGAUCAAAGGCGAUAAGACAUUUAUCAAGGGUAGCAUGUGGACUCCAACGUAAGCGAUGCUGUGUGAAUGGGUUGUAGAGACCCGAAAUGAAAGCAGAAUGGAGAUUGUUGUUAAACCAUUCAAGGAAUGUGGGAUAUCAAAUGCAAUCUCGCUCAGAAAUGAUAAUUUAUGGAAUGAUAUGGCUGAUGACGACGUGAUUGCUAAUAGUGAUGAUGAUCCAUAUCACAAUGACAUUGAAGAAGCCGAUUGAGAUGAGUUAUUUGGUUCUGAAGUCAAGGAGGAAGGUGAUUACAUGCUCAGAGAAUGUCCUGCUGCUUAGUAUUUCUAUGUAUUAUGAAAAAACAAUUUGAACUUUUGUAAAUAUGUUUGUUAAACCUUUGGUU